GGUAAAUAUACGUUCUGGAUUCCUUGCCAUGCAAGCCUAGAAUCAGCUAUUUAACUAACAAAAUUGGGUAAAGCAUGUACCCACAUCCGAGUUGAGAAAGCUCAAAGGUCAGCACAGCUCAGGCGCAGGAAACAGGAACUUGACACUGCAGAAGAUAUGGCCAAGCAUCAUCCAGAUUUAAUUAUGUGCCGCAAGCAGCCAGGAAUUGCUAUUGGACGUGUAUGUGACAAAUGUGAUGGGACGUUGCAUUGUCUGUGGAGGAAUCGGGAUUUCUGAUGCCUAUUACUGCAAAGAGUGUAUGCAGCUGGAGAAAGAUAGAGAUGGGUGUCCAAAAAUCGUCAAUUUGGGAAGCGCCAAAACUGAUUUAUUCUAUGAACGAAAGAAAUAUGGUUUCAAAAAACGAUGAAAACAGCUUUCCCAAAUGAAGUGCAUCAAUGAUAUCUCCAAGUGAUCCAUUCAUUCUCUUUGGUGCUAGGUUUGUUGUGAUUUUGUUUACAAUGUCAAUAACAUGACCUGUGAUUAAAUUGAAGCAGAGUAUUUUUCUGUGGUCCACUGUUGGCUAUGAGCAGAUGCAUCCUUCUUCCAUCCCAGCACAGAUCAAUUCAUCUUAUUGAAUUGGUACGAGCGAAUGGGGGAUGGAAAUCAACAUUUUGUUUUUAUUUCUAUUUCUCCUUUAAUAACAAAUAAAUUUAUGAUUGCAAUUCUUUA